rnacentral:lncRNA from 10 species
UGAGUUCAGAGCCUGGGAUUUGUGGGAUGGCCAGUGUAUGCACUUCCAGUGACUGCUGGCAUUACCACAAUCCUUGGUAGCUUAACACAACAGAAAUCUACUCUCUCACAGUUCUAGAGGCCAGAAGUCUAAACUCCAUACUGCUCAGCUGUGCACUGGCUGCGGGCUCCAGGGGAGAAUCUGUUCCUGGUCUCUUCCAGCUUCUGGUGGCCAGCCGCAUUCCUUGGCUCGUGGCUGCAUCGCUCCAGUCUUCAAGAGAUACCUGCAUUGGCCAGAUGCAGUGGCUCACACCUGUAAUCCCAGUGCUUUGGGAGGCAGAGGUGGGAGGAUCACUUGGGCCAGGAAUUGAAGAUUAUGCUGGGCAACAUACCACAUCAUUUUCUCCACCAUCUUCCCCAGAACUAUCUUUGACCCUUGGUGCUCCUUCCCUUUCCUGACGCCACCCCACCUACGCCUUACAUCAGUCACCAAAUCUCAGCAUCACAGUCUGACCAAAAGGGAAACUUCUCAUCUGACUCCUCUGAUGCACAGAGAUGGAGCUGAGCCCUAGAGAUAGGGAGUGACUUGCUGGGGUCACAUGGUGAUUUCAUGGCGAGACUGGACCAUAGCCCAGGCCCCUGGGAUCCACUCCUACCCUGACUGACCAUCGGCAAAAUGCUUCCUGAGGACGAGGCUGUCUCCAUCCUUCUGUCCCUUCCUCAGCCCUGCCCUUGCCUCCCCUCCUCGGGAGGCUGCGGAAGCCUCAUGGGCCUUCUCCAGCCAGCCACUCUGGCCACUCCAGCAUUCCUUUCACUGCUUUCAUUUGGGUCACCCCUGUGGAGUUAGCUUCAGUGUUUCCCAGUGACCUAGAAGCAAAGUCCAUCUGUUGGCAAGCAUUUAUUGAGCAUCUAUUUUUAUGUGCUAGGGGCUGGGGAGCCCAAGAUGAACCAGGCAUAGGCCCAGCCUUCAAUCAGCCUGGCCCAUAUGCUGCCUUGGCCUGGCAUUCACAUUUCCACCUGCUCCUCCUGCCCGCUACAGCGACCCACCACUGCCCCAAGCAGCCUACAUCCACAGCGGGACACCUGCACUGCUGCUUCCGCGUGUGCUGGCCUGCUGGCCCUGUGUGUGUAGUAUCCUGGCCCCUCCUGGCCCCGUCAGAGCUUGUGCUGUCUUCAAUGCCCAGCGUCUGUCCCUGCCCUGUACUCCAUCCAGUGCCCUGAAGUCAGCCCCUCCGCAUGUGUGCCCUUCUGCAGCCCUCUGGCCUCCGUGGCCGGGUGGCGAGUCCUGCUUCUGUCCUGGGUUAAAUGAAGGCUUGGCAGCUCCCUUGCUGUCUCAUGGGGUGUUUUUUGGCCUCUAUCCCUCUCUCCCUCCACUCCACCCUCCCUUUUUGCUACCGCCUGUCUCUUUUGGUUUUUGCUGUUGCCUGGAAGGUAGGGGACGUCACGGUGCUCUGCACAGUAGAGGUAGCCCUGAUUCCGUGGCACUGACACCCCCACCUCAAACGCAGCCCCCCAUGAUGUUUCGUCUCUGGGGAAGCACAGCCGUGGCUGAACAGACACAGGCGAGCCCCUCAGCCCAGGUGCCUGUCCCCACACCCCCCCAGGAUCCAGAAACCUGGGGCACUCACAGGGAGUUCCUGCUCAGUCCCCAACAGGAAGUGUUCCUGCCUGUGUUAGAACUGGGCAUGUCCUUGCUUUCGACCCUGAGAAACUUGUCUGGCUGGAAGGCACAGAUUCCUAACAUUUUGAGGGACAUUUUACUUUUCCUGAGAGUUUGACAUUUUAUUACCUAUGGCUACAUAACAGACUACCCAAAAGCGAGGUACCAUAAAAACAACCAAAAUGCUAUUUGCCCACAAAUCUGUGGGUCUGGAAUUUAAACAGGGGAUACUGGGUGCUGUUCCCUGUCUGGGGAGCAUCACCUUCACCUAGACAUCAUUUGCUUUGCUUAAACAUUCCUGAUCUUUUGCAUACCCAAGAAUGAGUUCCAUGUUAACUUGCAUCUUGCACACCCAAGAAUGAGUUGAAGAUGUGGCUUCAUCACCCCCAUGUCAGGGGUCCCGGCUGUUGUAGCUCCGGAGUCCGGAGGGUGGCUGGGUCAGCUUGAACAUGUGCACAUGUCUGGCUGAGCUUCUCAUUCUCCUCCAUAUAGUCUCAGGGCCUCUCACUCUCCAUGUGGCCUCUCCAACAGGAAGGUAAGGCUUGUUACCUGGUGGCUCAGGGUUCCCAGGACUACAAAUGUGGAAUCCACCAAGAUUUCCUAAGGCGUAGCCCUAGAGCUUGUGCAGUCUUCAAAGCCCAGCAUCUGUCCCUGUCCUGUUUUUUUGUUUUGUUUUGUUUUGUUUUUUGGGAUGGAGUCUCACUCUUGUUGUCCAGGCUGGAGUGCAGUGGUGCGACCUCGGCUCACUGCAACCUCCACCUCCUGGGUUCAAGGGGUUCUCCUGCCUCAGCCUCCCGAGUAGCUGGGAUUAUGGGUGCCCACCACCAUGCGUGGCUAAUUUUUGUAUUUUUAAUAGAGAUGUUGGCCAGGCUGGUCUCAAACUCCUGACCCCAGGUGAUCCACCCGCCUCGGCCUCCCACAGUGCUGGGAUUACAGGCGUGAGCUACUGUGUCUGGCCUCCUGCCCUGUUCUUCAUCCAGCACCCUGAAGUGAGCCCCUCCACGUGUGCCCCUUGGCACAGCUGGCACAGUAUCACCUCUGUCACAUUCUAUUGUUUCAGGCAGCCCAGAUUCAGUUGAGUGAUCUAUAGAGGGCAUGAAUACUAAGAGGUGCAUUUCACUGGGGGCUACCACUGUAACAGAUGACUACACAUGUCCUAUCUUUCCAGGUGGAGUCUAACUCUUCAAGGGAUGCAGGGAUGUGUUCUAUCCCACAGCCCCUUUCAGAAUGGCUCACACCUAGGAGUUGCUUGAUCUACAUUCAUUUUAUUGAGAAGGGAACAGGGAGAUCACAGACGCCAUGGGGCCAUCUUGGAGGGCCUGUCAUGCUCCUUACCCCUUCCUCACCAAGCACUUCCUCUGGCAUUGGCUGGAGGGAAAGGUAGCCAUUUGGGCUAUGUUUGACAGAUGAGAAAGCUGAGUCUCAAUGAAGUUUUUAGUUUAUACACUUGCCAAGGACCAAAUGAUAAAUUGGCAGAUUGAGGUUGAAAGCCUAGUAUGCUUAUUUUUUGUUGAAAACUAGGGAAAUAAAUUUACUUUUCAGAAAUUGAUUUUCAGGUAAAUUUCUCUGAAUGCAUCUAAUCUGUAGAGC